rnacentral:rRNA from 1 species
UACGUAGGGUGCAAGCGUUAAUCGGAAUUACUGGGCGUAAGCAGUCGUGCGCAGGCGGCUUUGCAAGACAGAUGUGAAAUCCCCGGGCUUAACCUGGGACUGCAUUUGUGACUGCAUGGCCGGAGUGCGGCAGAGGGGGAUGGAAUUCCGCGUGUAGCAGUGAAAUGCGUAGAUAUGCGGAGGAACACCGAUGGCGAAGGCAAUCCCCUGGGCCUGCACUGACGCUCAUGCACGAAAGCGUGGGGAGCAAACAGG